rnacentral:rRNA from 1 species
UACAGAGGCCUCAAGCGUUGUUCGGAAUUAUUGGGCGUAAAGGGCAUGAAGGUUGUUUUGUUAGUCGAACCGUAAAAUAUAAGUGCUUAACAUUUGUGUGCGGCCGAUACUGCAAAGCUUGAGUUCUACACAGGAAAUAGGAAUUUACGGUGUAGCAGUGAAAUGCGUGGAUAUCGUAAGGAACACCAAAGGCGAAAGCAUAUUUCUGGUGAGUUACUGACACUAUAGUGCGAAGGCUAGGGGAGCAAAUGGG